UGCCCACUGAUUUAAAAUUAAAGGGCUGCAGUAAUUUGACUGUACAAAGGUAGCAUAAUCAUUAGUCAUUUAAUUGAUGACUUGUAUGAAAGAUUUGAUGAGAUAUAAACUGUCUUAAUUUUAAAUUAUAGAAUUUAAUUUUUUAGUUAAAAAGCUAAAAUAUUGUAAAAAGACGAGAAGACCCUAUAGAGUUUUAUUUUAUUAUAAAUAAAUAGAAUUUUGUAUAGUUAAAAUUUAAAUUUAUAAUUUAAUUUUAUUGGGGUGAUAAAAAAAUUUAAUUAACUUUUUUUUUUAUUUACAUAAAUAAGUGAGUAUUUGAUCCAAUUUUAUUGAUUAUAAGAAAAAAUUACCUUAGGGAUAACAGCGUAAUUUUUUUUUUUAGUUCUUAUAAAAAAAAAGUUUGCGACCUCGAUGUUGGAUUAAGAUAAAAUUUAAAUGUAGAAGUUUAAAGAUUUGA
rnacentral:rRNA from 1 species